AUACGGAGGGUGCAAGCGUUACUCGGAAUCACUGGGCGUAAAGCGCGCGCAGGCGGGCUGAUAAGUUGGAUGUGAAAGCCUACGGCUCAACCGUAGAACUGCAUCCAAAACUGUCAGUCUAGAGUCUGGGAGGGGAAGAUGGAAUUAGUUGUGUAGGGGUAAUAUCCGUAGAGAUAACUAGGAAUACCAAAAGCGAAGGCGAUCUUCUGGAACAGUACUGACGCUGAGGCGCGAAAGCGUGGGGAGCAAACAGGAUUAGAAACCCUAGUAGUCC
rnacentral:rRNA from 1 species